rnacentral:lncRNA from 10 species
UGAUUGUCUUAUUAAUUCUAAUUUAAAGUGAUACCUUUGGCUUAUCUUGGUAUUAUAUAUAAUCAUUUGUAAAUGAUGAGUUUUCAUUUCUUCCUUUCCAACAUUUAUGCCCCCUUUUGUUUCUUCUUCUGCAUGAGUCGUUCUUGGUUAAAUUAGACAUAAACAAAAAUAUCCUUAACCUGAUGAAGAAUAUAUCAGAAGUUCUUCUGAUCUGGCAGAUUUGUCCCUCCCUGUGGUCUGCCAAGAUCACAGAACUUAAUGACUGGCAUUGACUAGAACUUCCUUAACAGCCUCCUGAUCUUGUUCUUGAAGUCAGUGGGAAUGCCUCUUUUGUUUCAUUAUUUAGUAUAACUUUUAUUGUUUGGAUUGAAGUAUUUUCUUUUUUUUUUUCAAGGCUAAUUUCACUUAUGUUUACCAGUCUCUCUCUUUCUCUCUUUUGCACGUGCACACACACAUGUAGUACAAAGAAAUACUAUCAGUGAAUGGAGGCAAGUCGUUAACUUCUGUAAUCUUGAUAGACCAGAGAGAGGGAUGAAUCUGCCAGAUCAGAAGAGCUCCUGAUAUCUUCUUCAUCAGGUAUUUUCAGGACUGCAGAGAUGAACAUUAGUGAGUCCAAAUAGAAGUGGUGAAGGGAGCAGAGAAGAGGAUGGGCCUGUUUCCCAGGGAAGUAGAAAUGACCAGUAGCUCAGGAGAAGAUGCUGUUUCUUCCGUGUCACACAUGGUCUUCCAAAUUUGGAAGCAACGUUGGACAACUUAACUUCAG